GAUUUUGAAAUACUCCGAUUGAUUUUGGAUUUUUGUGAUUUUGAAAUAUGCUUUGGUCUCUUUUUUAACAUAUUUUUAAUAUAUAGUUCUAGAUUUUUUGAAAAAAUAUACUUUGGUAAUCUUUUUUACAGAUUUAUGUGUUUUUCAAUUUCCAUUUGCACAGUUUUUUUUUUCCUGUUUUUCUGCAUUUGCAUGUUAGAUAUCAAGGAUUUCAAUUGAUUCUUGGUAUUUUCUUUUUUCUCAAUGAUACUUGAAAAUUUGAAAUUAAUUUUCAGCAAAUAACCAAGCUAAGUGUAUUAUUGUUCCUCAUACUUUUCCUUGACUGCUAAUCACAAGGCCGUAGCUGAAAAUCCAGCUUCAUUUCUCUUGCCAGUUAGAGUCGAACUGAAGCCAAAAAGUGGAAUCAGAUUUGAUAGGCAAUACUUCCAUGCUUCAGAUCCAAGUCUUCAUCUGCGGAAUUCAGAAAUACUAUUAGUAUCACAGUUUGACAUUAUGUAUAAAGUAGAAAACAUGUAAUAAUUGUUUAGUAUUUGAGUUGUAAUUGAUCCUAAUAGUGAAUAGCAAAAAAAAAACAAAAUGAGAGUAACACAUAGAAACAUAAAAAUAAUAAAAUAGGAGGGAGAGAAAAAAAAA